GGGCCCGCACAAGUGGUGGAGCAUGUGGUUUAAUUCGAUGCAACGCGAAGAACCUUACCAACCCUUGAAAUCUAGCGAAGUUCACAGAGAUGAGAAUGUGCCUUCGGGAACGCUAUGACAGGUGUUGCAUGGCUGUCGUCAGCUCGUGUCGUGAGAUGUAUGGUUAAGUCCAGUAACGAGCGCAACCCCUAUCCUUAUUUGCCAGCGCGUUAAGGCGGGAACUAUAGGGAGACUGCCGGGUGAAACCCGGAGGAAGGCGGGGACGAGGUCAAGUCAUCAUGGCCCUUAUGGGUUGGGCUACACACGUGCUACAAUGGGAAGUACAGAGGGAUGCGAAAGCGCGAGCUGAAGCCAAACCUUAAAUUUCUAGUCCGGAUUGGAGUCUGCAACUCGACUCCAUG
rnacentral:rRNA from 1 species